rnacentral:rRNA from 1 species
AUAGGUUAAGUUAAUAAGGGCGCAUGGUGGAUGCCUUGGCACUAGAAGGCGAUGAAGGACGUGACUAACUACGAUAUGCCUCGGUUAGCUGUAAGUAAGCUUACCCGGGGGUUUCCGAAUGGGGCAACCCGAUCUUAAUGAUCAUCAUCUUUUUGAAUUCAUAGAUUAGAUGAAGCAAACGCUGUGAACUGAAACAUCUAAGUAGCAGUAGGAAAGUAAAGAAAUUUCGAUUCCGUCAGUAGCGGCGAGCGAACGCGGAAGAGCCCAAACCUGGAUGCUUGCAUCCAGGGGUUGUAGGACUGAUGUUGAGUUACAAAGGUAUAAGAUAGCAGAAACAGUUGGGAAGCUGUUCCAAAGAGGGUGACAGGCCCGUAUGCGAAAUCUUGUACUCUCUAAUCAGGAUCCUGAGUACGGCCC